UAAAAGCGUCAAACAGUUUAUUUUUUACAACUUUUAUACACAGGUGAUGCAAAUUUCUAAUUCAAUACAUUUGUAUUUCUAACGAUCCCAGAUGCAAUACACUGCAUUGACAAGAUAAAAUCGCUCAUCGGAACAGGUCCAGAAGUUGGAUACGACAUUCGGUAAAUUUAAACUUCACAUGGUGACUCUUCCAUAGUCCCUUCUCUGAAUACAUAUAAUCAAUACAGAAUAAUUUUUUUGACGAGCUAUGACUAGAAGAAGGAAGCUCACUACAAUGUUUUGGUUAAUGGCACACGUUUUAUUCUGGCUUUACAAUAUGAAUAUUUUACCAAGUGGAUCUGCAGUGCCCAUUGCACAACCUCCGUGGUCGUAUAAGAUGCCGACAAAGAAACCUCCACACAGGGAUUUUGUAAUUGAACCUGAUUGGGAUUAAAUGAUAAAAUUGUUAAAUUUAAAUAUUUAAGAAAACUUUAAUUUGAGUAUUUUUAAAAAUUUAUUUAGUACUAGUUUUCAGAUGUCUGACUAACAGAAGAAACCCACUACAAUGAUUUUGUUAACGGCGCACCACUUAUUCUGGCUUUACAAUAUGAAUAGUUUUCCAAAUGGAUCUGUAUUGCCUAUUGCACAAUCUCUUUUAUUUUCCAAAAUGUCGGCAAAUAAACCUACACACAGGAAUUUUAACACUGAACCUGAUUGAGAUUUAUAAUAAAAUUAUUAAAUUGUAAAUAUUUAAGAACUCAGAAAAAUACAUAUUUUUAAUAAAAA